rnacentral:rRNA from 1 species
UGACGGGUAGCCGGCCUGAGAGGGUGACCGGCCACAUUGGGACUGAGAUACGGCCCAGACUCCUACGGGAGGCAGCAGUGGGGAAUUUUCCGCAAUGGGCGAAAGCCUGACGGAGCAAUCUCGCGUGAGGGAUGACUGCCUAUGGGUUGUAAACCUCUUUUUUCAGGGAGGAAUAAAUGACGUGUACCUGAAGAAUAAGCAUCGGCUAACUCCGUGCCAGCAGCCGCGGUAAUACGGAGGGUGCGAGCGUUAAUCGGAAUUACUGGGCGUAAAGCGCGCGUAGGCGGCUUCGUCAGUCAGAUGUGAAAGCCCCGGGCUCAACCUGGGAACGGCAUUUCGAACUGUCAGGCUAGAGUAUGGUAGAGGAGUGUGGAAUUUCCUGUGUAGCGGUGAAAUGCGUAGAUAUAGGAAGGAACACCAGUGGCGAAGGCGGCCUCCUGGACUGACAUUGACGCUGAGGUGCGAAAGCGUGGGGAGCAAAC